rnacentral:rRNA from 1 species
CCUACGGUGCGCAGCAGUGAGGAAUAUUGGUCAAUGGGCGCGAGCCUGAACCAGCGAAGUCGCGUGAGUGAAGACGGUCCUAUGUAUUGUAAACCUCUUUUGUCGGGGAGAAAAAGACGCCACGCGUGUCGUUCCGAGAGUACCCGUAGAAAAAGCAUCGGCUAACGCCGUGCCAGCAGCCGCGGUAAUACGGAGGGUGCGAGCGUUAAUCGGACUUACUGGGCGUAAAGCGCACGUAGUCGGUAUGUCAAGCUAAGGGUGAAAUCCCCGGGGUCAACGUGGGAACUGCCUGUGAAACUGGCAAACUGGAGUGUGUGAGAGGAUAGUGGAAUUCCAGGUGGAGGAGUGAAAUCCGUAGAUAUCUGGAGGAACAUCAGUGGCGAAGGCGACUAUCUGGCACAUAACUGACGCUGAGGAGCGAAAGCGUGGGUAGCAAACAGGAUUAGAUACCCCUGUAGUC